rnacentral:rRNA from 1 species
GUCUAAAGCCAUACCACCCUGAACACACCUGAUCUUGUCUGAUCUUGGAAGCUAAGUGGGGUUGGGCCUGGUUAGUACUUGGAUAGAAGAAUAUAUAUCAUUUAAGGAU